rnacentral:rRNA from 1 species
GACGAACGCUGGCGGCGUGCCUAAUACAUGCAAGUUGAGCGCUGAAGGUUGGUACUUGUACCAACUGGAUGAGCAGCGAACGGGUGAGUAACGCGUGGGGAAUCUGCCUUUGAGCGGGGGACAACAUUUGGAAACGAAUGCUAAUACCGCAUAAAAACUUUAAACACAAGUUUUAAGUUUGAAAGAUGCAAUUGCAUCACUAAAAGAUGAUCCCGCGUUGUAUUAGCUAGUUGGUGAGGUAAAGGCUCACCAAGGCGAUGAUACAUAGCCGACCUGAGAGGGUGAUCGGCCACAUUGGGACUGAGACACGGCCCAAACUCCUACGGGAGGCAGCAGUAGGGAAUCUUCGGAAAUGGACGAAAGUCUGACCGAGCAACGCCGCGUGAGUGAAGAAGGUUUUCGGAUCGUAAAACUCUGUUGGUAGAGAAGAACGUUGGUGAGAGUGGAAAGCUCAUCAAGUGACGGUAACUACCCAGAAAGGGACGGCUAACUACGUG